UUAGCUCAGCAGGAUAGAGCAACUGCCUUCUAAGCAGUAGGUCGCCGGUUCGAAUCCGUCAG
rnacentral:tRNA from 1 species